GACAUAACCAAGUUAGCCAGGACUGUGGACAGUGAGGGACCUCAACCAUAGUUGUUCUGUGACACUGAAUGAUGGGCACUUUAUACCUGUGCACGGAUUUGGCACUUUUGCUUCAGAUGAAGUUCCUAAGAGCAAGAGUGGAGAGGCCGCCAA